UUCGCAAUGCCCGAAAGGGUGACGAAGCGACGCCGCGUGUGGGAAGAAGGCCUUCGGGUUGUAAACCACUGUCGGGAAUUAAGAAAUGUAAGGGUGUUAAUAGUAUCCUUACUUGACUAAGGCUCCGGAGGAAGCCACGGCUAACUCUGUGCCAGCAGCCGCGGUAAUACAGAGGCGGCAAGCGUUGUUCGGAAUUAUUGGGCGUAAAGAGCACGUAGGCGGCCUUGCAAGUCGGUUGUGAAAGCCUUCCGCUCAACGGAAGAACAGCAGCUGAUACUACAAGGCUUGAGUGCGGGAGGGGAGAGUGGAACUUCUGGUGGAGCGGUGAAAUGCGUAGAUAUCAGAAGGAACGCCGGCGGCGAAAGCGACUCUCUGGCCCGUUACUGACGCUGAGUGUGCGAAAGCUAGGGGAGCAAACGGGAUUAGAUACCUCGGUAGUCCUAGCCGUAAACGAUGGGCACUAAGUAGAGGGGUUUU
rnacentral:rRNA from 1 species